rnacentral:lncRNA from 1 species
CAGGAACUUCUUACAGUCAUGUGCUCUACCAACUGAGCUAUGAAGGUGCUUAUAGAUAAAGACGCAGAAAACAUAGUGGCUUCGGCGACACACUUUGCCAACACAACAAUCAAGCCACCUGGUCAAUGAAAAAGGUUGAACAGUGCAUACACCAAUGAAAUCUGGUGCUUGGAGCUGGAGUUGAACCAGCGACCUUUGGACGACAGCGUUUCAGAAACUUCUUAAAGUCAUGUGCUCUACCAACUGAGCUAUGAAGGUGCUUACUGACACAAACGCAGAAAACAUAGUGGCUUCGGCGACACACUUUGCCAACACAACAAUUGGAACCACAUGGUCAAUGAAAAAGGUUGAACAGUGCAUAGACAAAUGAAAUCUGGUGUUUGGAGCAGGAGUUGAACCAGCGACCUUUGGAGCACAGCGUUUCAGGAACUUCUUACAGUCAUGUGCUCUACCAAGUGAGCUAUGAAAGUGCUUAUAGAUACAACCGCAGAAAACAUAGUGGCUUUGGCGACACACUUUGCCAACAAUACAAUUGGACCCACAUGGUCAAUGAAAAAGGUUGAACAGUGCAUAGACCAAUGAAAUCUGGUGUUUGGAGCAGGAGUUGAACCAGCAACCUUUGGACCACAGCAUUUCAGGAACUUCUUAAAGUCAUGUGCUCUACCAACUGAGCUAUGAAGGUGCUUAUAGAAAAAAACACAGAAAACAUAGUGCCUUCGGCGACACACUUUGCCAACAAUACAAUUAGACCCACAUGGUCAAUGAAAAAGGUUGAACAAUGCAUACACGAAUAAAAUCUGGUGUUUGGAGCUGGAGUUGAACCAGCGACCUUUGGACCACAGCGUUUCAGGAACUUCUUACAGUCCUCUGCUCUACCAACUGAGCUAUGAAGGUGCUUAUAGAAAAAAACCGCAGAAAACAUAGUGCCUUCGGCGACACACUUUGCCAACAUAUCUAUUGAAGCAACAUGGUCAAUGAAAAAGGUUGAACAGUGCAUACAAGAAUAAAAUCUGGUGUUUGGAGCUGGAGUUGAACCAGCGACCUUUGGACCACAGCGUUUCAGGAACUUCUUAAUGUCAUGUGCUCUACAAACUGAGCUAUGAAGGUGCUUACAGACACAACCGCAGAAAACAUAGUGGCUUCGGCGACACACUUUGCCAACACAACAAUCAAGCCACCUGGUCAAUGAAAAAGGUUGAACAGUGCAUAGACCAAUGAAAUCUGGUGUUUGGAGCAGGAGUUGAACCAGCGUCCUUUGGACCACAGCGUUUCAGGAACUUCUUAAAGUCAUUUGCUCUACCAACGGAGCUAUGAAGGUGCUAAUAGAUAAAAACGCAGAAAACAUAGUGGCUUCGGCGACACACUUUGCCAACACAACAAUCAAGGCACCUGGUCAAUGAAAAAGGAUGAACAGUGCAUAUACAAAUGAAAUCUGGUGCUUGGAGCUGGAGUUGAACCAGGGACCUUUGGACCACAGCGUUUCAGGAACUUCUUACAGUCAUGUGCUCUACCAACUGAGCUAUGAAGGUGCUUAUAGAUAAAGACGCAGAAAACAUAGUGGCUUCGGCGACACACUUUGCCAACACAACAAUCAAGCCACCUGGUCAAUGAAAAAGGUUGAACAGUGCAUACACCAAUGAAAUCUGGUGCUUGGAGCUGGAGUUGAACCAGCGACCUUUGGACGACAGCGUUUCAGAAACUUCUUAAAGUCAUGUGCUCUACCAACUGAGCUAUGAAGGUGCUUACUGACACAAACGCAGAAAACAUAGUGGCUUCGGCGACACACUUUGCCAACACAACAAUUGGAACCACAUGGUCAAUGAAAAAGGUUGAACAGUGCAUAGACAAAUGAAAUCUGGUGUUUGGAGCAGGAGUUGAACCAGCGACCUUUGGAGCACAGCGUUUCAGGAACUUCUUACAGUCAUGUGCUCUACCAAGUGAGCUAUGAAAGUGCUUAUAGAUACAACCGCAGAAAACAUAGUGGCUUUGGCGACACACUUUGCCAACAAUACAAUUGGACCCACAUGGUCAAUGAAAAAGGUUGAACAGUGCAUAGACCAAUGAAAUCUGGUGUUUGGAGCAGGAGUUGAACCAGCAACCUUUGGACCACAGCAUUUCAGGAACUUCUUAAAGUCAUGUGCUCUACCAACUGAGCUAUGAAGGUGCUUAUAGAAAAAAACACAGAAAACAUAGUGCCUUCGGCGACACACUUUGCCAACAAUACAAUUAGACCCACAUGGUCAAUGAAAAAGGUUGAACAAUGCAUACACGAAUAAAAUCUGGUGUUUGGAGCUGGAGUUGAACCAGCGACCUUUGGACCACAGCGUUUCAGGAACUUCUUACAGUCCUCUGCUCUACCAACUGAGCUAUGAAGGUGCUUAUAGAAAAAAACCGCAGAAAACAUAGUGCCUUCGGCGACACACUUUGCCAACAUAACUAUUGAAGCAACAUGGUCAAUGAAAAAGGUUGAACAGUGCAUACACGAAUAAAAUCUGGUGUUUGGAGCUGGAGUUGAACCAGCGACCUUUGGACCACAGCGUUUCAGGAACUUCUUAAUGUCAUGUGCUCUACAAACUGAGCUAUGAAGGUGCUUACAGACACAACCGCAGAAAACAUAGUGGCUUCGGCGACACACUUUGCCAACACAACAAUCAAGCCACCUGGUCAAUGAAAAAGGUUGAACAGUGCAUAGACCAAUGAAAUCUGGUGUUUGGAGCAGGAGUUGAACCAGCGUCCUUUGGACCACAGCGUUUCAGGAACUUCUUAAAGUCAUUUGCUCUACCAACGGAGCUAUGAAGGUGCUAAUAGAUAAAAACGCAGAAAACAUAGUGGCUUCGGCGACACACUUUGCCAACACAACAAUCAAGGCACCUGGUCAAUGAAAAAGGAUGAACAGUGCAUAUACAAAUGAAAUCUGGUGCUUGGAGCUGGAGUUGAACCAGGGACCUUUGGACCACAGCGUUUCAGGAACUUCUUACAGUCAUGUGCUCUACCAACUGAGCUAUGAAGGUGCUUAUAGAUGAAAAACGCAGAAAACAUAGUGGCUUCGGCGACACACUUUGCCAACACAACAAUCAAGCCACCUGGUCAAUGAAAAAGGUUGAACAGUGCAUAGACCAAUGAAAUCUGGUGUUUGGAGCAGGAGUUGAACCAGCGACCUUUGGACCACAGCGUUUCAAGAACUUCUUAAAGUCAUGUGCUCUACCAAAUGAGCUAUGAAGGUGCUUAUAGAUAAAAACGCAAAAAACAUAGUGGCUUCGGCGACACACUUUGCCAAAACAACAAUCAAGCCACCUGGUCAAUGAAAAAGGAUGAACAGUGCAUAUACAAAUGAAAUCUGGUGCUUGGAGCUGGAGUUGAACCAGGGACCUUUGGACCACAGCGUUUCAGGAACUUCUUAAAGUCAUGUGCUCUACCAACUGAGCUAUGAAGGUGCUUAUAGAUAAAGACGCAGAAAACAUAGUGGCUUCGGCAACACACUUUGCCAACAUAACUAUUGAACCAACAUGGUCAAUGAAAAAGGUUGAACAGUGCAUAUACAAAUGAAAUCUGGUGCUUGGAGCUGGAGUUGAACCAGGGACCUUUGGACCACAGCGUUUCAGGAACUUCUUACAGUCAUGUGCUCUACCAACUGAGCUAUGAAGGUGCUUAUAGAUAAAGACGCAGAAAACAUAGUGGCUUCGGCGACACACUUUGCCAACACAACAAUCAAGCCACCUGGUCAAUGAAAAAGGUUGAACAGUGCUUAGACCAAUGAAAUCUGGUGUUUGGAGCAGGAGUUGAACCAGCGACCUUUGGACCACAGCCUUACAGGAACUUCUUAAAGUCAUGUGCUCUAGCAACAGAGCUAUGAAGGUGCUUAUAGAUGAAAACGCAGAAAACAUAGUGGCUUCGGCGACACACUUUGCCAAAACAACAAUCAAGCCACCUGGUCAUUGAAAAAGGAUGAACAGUGCAUAUACAAAUGAAAUCUGGUGAUUGGAGCUAGAUGAACCAGGGACCUUUGGACCACAGCGUUUCAGGAACUUCUUAAAGUCAUGUGCUCUACCAACUGAGCUAUGAAGGUGCUUAUAGAUGAAAACGCAGAAAACAUAGUGGCUUCGGCGACACACUUUGCCAACACAACAAUCAAGCCACCUGGUCAAUGAAAAAGGAUGAACAGUGCAUAUACAAAUGACAACUGGAUGCUUGGAGCUGGAGUUGAACCAGCGACCUUUGGACCACAGCGUUUCGGGAACUUCUUAAAGUCAUGUGCUCUACCAACUGAGCUAUGAAGGUGCUUAUAGAUAAAAACGCAGAAAACAUAGUGGCUUCGGCGACACACUUUGCCAAAACAACAAUCAAGCCACCUGGUCAAUGAAAAAGGAUGAACAGUGCAUAUACAAAUGAAAUGUGGUGCUUGGAGCUGGAGUUGAACCAGCGACCUUUCGACCACAGCGUUUUAGGAACUUCUUAAAGUCAUGUGCUCUACCAACUGAGCUAUGAAGGUGCUUAUAGAUAAAAACGCAGAAAACAUAGUGGCUUCGGCGACACACUUUGCCAACAUAACUAUUGAACCAACAUGGUCAAUGAAAAAGGUUGAACAGUGCAUAGACCAAUGAAAUGUGGUGUUUGGAGCAGGAGUUGAACCAGCGUCCUUUGGACCACAGCGUUUCAGGAACUUCUCAAAGUCAUGUGCUCUACCAACUGAGCUAUGAAGGUGCUUAUAGACACAAACGCAGAAAACAUAGUGGCUUCGGCGACACACUUUGCCAACAAUACAAUUGGACCCACAUGGUCAAUGAAAAAGGUUGAACAGUGCAUAGACCAAUGAAAUCUGGUGUUUGGAGCAGGAGUUGAACCAGCGACCUUUGGACCACAGCGUUUCAGGAACUUCUUAAAGUCAUGUGCUCCACCAACUGAGCUAUGAAGGUGCUUAUAGAUAAAAACGCAGAAAACAUAGUGGCUUCGGCGACACACUUUGCCAAAACAACAAUCAAGCCACCUGGUCAAUGAAAAAGGAUGAAGAGUGCAUAUACAAAUGAAAUCUGGUGCUUGGAGCUGGAGUUGAACCAGCGACCUUUGGACCACAGCGUUUCAGGAACUUCUUAAAGUCAUGUGCUCUACCAACUGAGCUUUGAAGGUGCUUAUAAACACAUAGCAGAAAACAUAGUGGCUUCGGCGACACACUUUGCCAACAUAACUAUUGAACCAACAUGGUCAAUGAAAAAGGAUGAACAGUGCAUAUACAAAUGAAAUCUGGUGCUUGGAGCUGGAGUUGAACCAGCGACCUUUGGACCACAGCGAUUCAGGAACUUCUUAAAGUCAUGUGCUCUACAAUCUGAGCUAUGAAGGUUUUUAUAAACACAUAGCAGAAAACAUAGUGGCUUCGGCGACACACUUUGCAAACAUAACUAUUGAACCAACAUGGUCAAUGAAAAAGGUUGAACAGUGCAUACAACAAUGAAAUCUGGUGUUUGGAGCUGGAGUUGAACCAGCGUCCUUUGGACCACAGCGUUUAAGGAACUUCUUAAAGUCAUGUGCUCUACCAACUGAGCUAUGAAGGUGCUUAUAGAUAAAAACGCAGAAAACAUAGUGGCUUCGGCGACACACUUUGCCAAAACAACAAUCAAGCCACCUGGUCAAUGAAAAAGGUUGAACAGUGCAUAUACAAAUGAAAUCUGGUGCUUGGAGGAGGAGUUGAACCAGGGACCUUUAGACCACAGCGUUUCAGGAACUUCUUACAGUCAUGUGCUCUACCAACUGAGCUAUGAAGGUGCUUAUAGAAACAAACGCAGAAAACAUAGUGGCUUCGGCGACACACUUUGCCAACACAACAAUCAAGCCACCUGGUCAAUGAAAAAGGUUGAACAGUGCUUAGACCAAUGAAAUCUGGUGUUUGGAGCAGGAGUUGAACCAGCGACCUUUGGACCACAGCCUUACAGGAACUUCUUAAAGUCAUGUGCUCUAGCAACAGAGAUAUGAAGGUGCUUAUAGAUGAAAACGCAGAAAACAUAGUGGCUUCGGCGACACACUUUGCCAAAACAACAAUCAAGCCACCUGGUCAUUGAAAAAGGAUGAACAGUGCAUAUACAAAUGAAAUCUGGUGAUUGGAGCUAGAUGAACCAGCGUCCUUUGGACCACAGCGUUUCAGGAACUUCUUAAAGUCAUGUGCUCUACCAACUGAGCUAUGAAGGUGCUUAUAGAUACAACCGCAGAAAACAUAGUGGCUUCGGCGACACACUUUGCCGACAUAACUAUUGGACCCACAUGGUCAAUGAAAAAGGAUGAACAGUGCAUAUACCAAUGAAAUCUGGUGCUUGGAGCUGGAGUUGAACCAGGGACCUUUGGACCACAGCGUUUCAGGAACUUCUUAAAGUCCUCUGCUCUACCAAAUGAGCUAUGAAGGUGCUUAUAGACACAAACGCAGAAAACAUAGUGGCUUCCGCGACACUCUUUGCCGACAUAACUAUUGAACCAACAUGGUCAAUGAAAAAGGUUGAACAGUGCAUACACCAAUGAAAUCUGGUGUUUGGAGCUGGAGUUGAACUAGCGACCUUUGGACAACAGCGUUUCAGGAACUUCUUAAAGUCAUGUGAUCUACCAACUGAGCUAUGAAGGUGCUUAUUGACACAAACGCAGAAAACAUAGUAGCUUCGGCGACACACUUUGCCAACAUAACUAUUGGACCCACAUGGUCAAUGAAAAAGGUUGAACAGUGCAUACACCAAUGAAAUCUGGUGUUUGGAGCUGGAGUUGAACCAGCGAUGUUUGGACCACAGCUUUUUAGGAACUUCUUAAAGUGAUGUGCUCUACCAACUGAGCUAUGAAGGUGCUUAUAGACACAAACGCAGAAAACAUAGUGGCUUCGGCGACACACUUUGCCAACAUAACUAUUGAACCAACAUGGUCAAUGAAAAAGGUUGAACAGUGCAUACACCAAUGAAAUCUGGUGUUUGGAGCUGGAGUUGAACCAGCGUCCUUUGGACCACAGCGUUUAAGGAACUUCUUAAAGUCAUGUGCUCUACCAACUGAGCUAUGAAGGUGCUUAUAGAUAAAAACGCAGAAAACAUAGUGGCUUCGGCGACACACUUUGCCAAGACAACAAUCAAGCCACCUGGUCAAUGAAAAAGGAUGAACAGUGCAUAUACAAAUGAAAUCUGGUGCUUGGAGCUGGAGUUGAACCAGGGACCUUUGGACCACAGCGUUUCAGGAACUUCUUACAGUCAUGUGCUCUACCAACUGAGCUAUGAAGGUGCUUAUAGAUGAAAACGCAGAAAACAUAGUGGCUUCGGCGACACACUUUGCCAACACAACAAUCAAGCCACCUGGUCAAUGAAAAAGGUUGAACAGUGCAUAGACCAAUGAAAUCUGGUGUUUGGAGCAGGAGUUGAACAAGCGACCUUUGGACCACAGCGUUUCAGGAACUUCUUAAAGUCAUGUGCUCUACCAACUGAGCUAUGAAGGUGCUUAUAGAUAAAAACGCAGAAAACAUAGUGGCUUCGGCGACACACUUUGCCAAAACAACAAUCAAGCCACCUGGUCAAUGAAAAAGGAUGAACAGUGCAUAGACCAAUGAAAUGUGGUGUUUGGAGCAGGAGUUGAACCAGCGACCUUUGGACCACAGCGUUUCGGGAACUUCUUAAAGUCAUGUGCUCUACCAACUGAGCUAUGAAGGUGCUUAUAGAUAAAAACGCAGAAAACAUAGUGGCUUCGGCGACACACUUUGCCAAAACAACAAUCAAGCCACGUGGUCAAUGAAAAAGGAUGAACAGUGCAUAUACAAAUGAAAUCUGGUGCUUGGAGCUGGAGUUGAACCAGCGACCUUUGGACCACAGCGUUUUAGGAACUUCUUAAAGUCAUGUGCUCUACCAACUGAGCUAUGAAGGUGCUUAUAGAUAAAAACGCAGAAAACAUAGUGGCUUCGGCGACACACUUUGCCAACAUAACUAUUGAACCAACAUGGUCAAUGAAAAAGGUUGAACAGUGCAUAGACCAAUGAAAUGUGGUGUUUGGAGCAGGAGUUGAACCAGCGUCCUUUGGACCACAGCGUUUCAGGAACUUCUUAAAGUCAUGUGCUCUACCAAAUGAGCUAUGAAGGUGCUUAUAGACACAAACGCAGAAAACAUAGUGGCUUCGGCGACACACUUUGCCAACAAUACAAUUGGACCCACAUGGUCAAUGAAAAAGGUUGAACAGUGCAUAGACCAAUGAAAUCUGGUGUUUGGAGCAGGAGUUGAACCAGCGUCCUUUGGACCACAGCGUUUCAGGAACUUCUUAAAGUCAUGUGCUCUACCAACUGAGCUAUGAAGGUGCUUAUAGAUAAAAACGCAGAAAACAUAGUGGCUUCGGCGACACACUUUGCCAACAUAACUAUUGAACCAACAUGGUCAAUGAAAAAGGAUGAACAGUGCAUAUACAAAUGAAAUCUGGUGCUUGGAGCUGGAGUUGAACCAGGGACCUUUGGACCACAGCGUUUCAGGAACUUCUUAAAGUCAUGUGCUCUACCAACUGAGCUAUGAAGGUGCUUAUAGAUAAAAACGCAGAAAACAUAGUGGCUUCGGCGACACACUUUGCCAACAUAACUAUUGAACCAACAUGGUCAAUGAAAAAGGUUGAACAGUGCAUACACCAAUGAAAUCUGGUGCUUGGAGCUGGAGUUGAACCAGCGUCCUUUGGACCACAGCGUUUCAGGAACUUCUUAAAGUCAUGUGCUCUACCAACUGAGCUAUGAAGGUGCUUAUAGAUAAAAACGCAGAAAACAUAGUGGCUUCGGCGACACACUUUUCCAACAAUACAAUUGGACCCACAUGGUCAAUGAAAAAGGUUGAACAGUGCUUAGACAAAUGAAAUCUGGUGUUUGGAGCAGGAGUUGAACCAGCGACCUUUGGACAACAGCGUUUCAGGAACUUCUUAAAGUCAUGUGCUCUACCAACUGAGCUAUGAAGGUGCUUAUAGAUAAAAACGCAGAAAACAUAGUGGCUUCGGCGACACACUUUGCCAAAACAACAAUCAAGCCACCUGGUCAAUGAAAAAGGAUGAAUAGUGCAUAUACAAAUGAAAUCUGGUGCUUGGAGCUGGAGUUGAACCAGGGACCUUUGGACCACAGCGUUUCAGGAACUUCUUAAAGUCAUGUGCUCUACCAACUGAGCUAUGAAGGUGCUUAUAGAUAAAAACGCAGAAAACAUAGUGGCUUCGGCGACACACUUUGCCAACAAUACAAUUGGACCCACAUGGUCAAUGAAAAAGGUUGAACAGUGCUUAGACAAAUGAAAUCUGGUGUUUGGAGCAGGAGUUCAACCAGCGACCUUUGGACCACAGCGUUUCAGGAACUUCUUAAAGUCAUGUGCUCUACCAACUGAGCUAUGAAGGUGCUUAUAGAUAAAAACGCAGAAAACAUAGUGGCUUCGGCGACACACUUUGCCAAAACAACAAUCAAGCCACCUGGUCAAUGAAAAAGGAUGAACAGUGCAUAUACAAAUGAAAUCUGGUGCUUGGAGCUGGAGUUGAACCAGGGACCUUUGGACCACAGCGUUUCAGGAACUUCUUAAAGUCAUGUGCUCUACCAACUGAGCUAUGAAGGUGCUUAUAGAUAAAAACGCAGAAAACAUAGUGGCUUCGGCGACACACUUUGCCAACAUAACUAUUGAACCAACAUGGUCAAUGAAAAAGGUUGAACAGUGCAUAUACAAAUGAAAUCUGGUGCUUGGAGCUGGAGUUGAACCAGGGACCUUUGGACCACAGCGUUUCAGGAACUGCUUACAGUCAUGUGCUCUACCAACUGAGCUAUGAAGGUGCUUAUAGACACAAACGCAGAAAACAUAGUGGCUUCGGUGACACACUUUGCCAACACAACAAUCAAGCCACCUGGUCAAUGAAAAAGGUUGAACAGUGCUUAGACCAAUGAAAUCUGGUGUUUGGAGCAGGAGUUGAACCAGCGACCUUUGGACCACAGCCUUACAGGAACUUCUUAAAGUCAUGUGCUCUAGCAACAGAGCUAUGAAGGAUGAAAACGCAGAAAACAUAGUGGCUUCGGCGACACACUUUGCCAAAACAACAAUCAAGCCACCUGGUCAUUGAAAAAGGAUGAACAGUGCAUAUACAAAUGAAAUCUGGUGAUUGGAGCUAGAUGAACCAGGGACCUUUGGACCACAGCGUUUCAGGAACUUCUUAAAGUCAUGUGCUCUACCAACUGAGCUAUGAAGGUGCUUAUAGAUGAAAACGCAGAAAACAUAGUGGCUUUUGGCGACACACUUUGCCAACACAACAAUCAAGCCACCUGGUCAAUGAAAAAGGAUGAACAGUGCAUAUACAAAUGACAACUGGAUGCUUGGAGCUGGAGUUGAACCAGCGACCUUUGGACCACAGCGUUUCGGGAACUUCUUAAAGUCAUGUGCUCUACCAACUGAGCUAUGAAGGUGCUUAUAGAUAAAAACGCAGAAAACAUAGUGGCUUCGACGACACACUUUGCCAAAACAACAAUAAAGCCACCUGGUCAAUGAAAAAGGAUGAACAGUGCAUAUACAAAUGAAAUCUGGUGCUUGGAGCUGGAGUUGAACCAGCGACCUUUGGACCACAGCGUUUUAGGAACUUCUUAAAGUCAUGUGCUCUACCAACUGAGCUAUGAAGGUGCUAAUAGAUAAAAACGCAGAAAACAUAGUGGCUUCGGCGACACACUUUGCCAACAUAACUAUUGAACCAACAUGGUCAAUGAAAAAGGAUGAACAGUGCAUAUACAAAUGAAAUCUGGUGCUUGGAGCUGGAGUUGAACCAGCGACCUUUGGACCACAGCGAUUCAGGAACUUCUUAAAGUCAUGUGCUCUACAAUCUGAGCUAUGAAGGUUUUUAUAAACACAUAGCAGAAAACAUAGUGGCUUCGGCGACACACUUUGCAAACAUAACUAUUGAACCAACAUGGUCAAUGAAAAAGGUUGAACAGUGCAUACAACAAUGAAAUCUGGUGUUUGGAGCUGGAGUUGAACCAGCAUCCUUUGGACCACAGCGUUUCAGGAACUUCUUAAAGUCAUGUGCUCUACCAACUGAGCUAUGAAGGUGCUUAUAGAUAAAAACGCAGAAAACAUAGUGGCUUCGGCGACACACUUUGCAAACAAUACAAUUGGACCCACAUGGUCAAUGAAAAAGGUUGAACAGUGCAUAGACCAAUGAAAUGUGGUGUUUGGAGCAAGAGUUGAACCAGCGACCUUUGGACCACAGCGUUUCAGGAACUUCUUAAAGUCAUGUGCUCUACCAACUGAGCUAUGAAGGUGCUUAUAGAUGAAAACGCAGAAAACAUAGUGGCUUCGGCGACACACUUUGCCAAAACAACAAUCAAGCCACCUGGUCAAUGAAAAAGGAUGAACAGUGCAUAUACAAAUGACAACUGGAUGCUUGGAGCUGGAGUUGAACCAGCGACCUUUGGACCACAGCGUUUCGGGAACUUCUUAAAGUCAUGUGCUCUACCAACUGAGCUAUGAAGGUGCUUAUAGAUGAAAACGCAGAAAACAUAGUGGCUUCGGCGACACACUUUGCCAAAACAACAAUCAAGCCACCUGGUCAUUGAAAAAGGAUGAACAGUGCAUAUACAAAUGAAAUCUGGUGAUUGGAGCUAGAUGAACCAGGGACCUUUGGACCACAGCGUUUCAGGAACUUCUUAAAGUCAUGUGGUCUACCAACUGAGCUAUGAAGGUGCUUAUAGAUACAACCGCAGAAAACAUAGUGGCUUCGGCGACACACUUUGCCGACAUAACUAUUGGACCCACAUGGUCAAUGAAAAAGGAUGAACAGUGCAUAUACCAAUGAAAUCUGGUGCUUGGAGCUGGAGUUGAACCAGCAACCUUUGGACCACAGCGUUUCAGGAACUUCUUAAAGUCCUCUGCUCUACCAAAUGAGCUAUGAAGGUGCUUAUAGACACAAACGCAGAAAACAUAGUGGCUUCCGCGACACUCUUUGCCGACAUAACUAUUGAACCAACAUGGUCAAUGAAAAAGGUUGAACAGUGCAUAAACCAAUGAAAUCUGGUGUUUGGAGCAGGAGUUGAACCAGCGACCUUUGGACCACAGCGUUUCAGGAACUUCUUAAAGUCAUGUGCUCUACCAACUGAGCUAUGAAGGUGCUUAUAAAUAAAACCGCAGAAAACAUAGUGGCUUCGGCGACACACUUUGCCAACAUAACUAUUGAACCAACAUGGUCAAUGAAAAAGGUUGAACAGUGCAUAUACAAAUGAAAUCUGGUGCUUGGAGCUGGAGUUGAAACAGCAACCUUUGGACCACAGCGUUUCAGGAACUUCUUAAAGUCAUGUGCUCUACCAACUGAGCUAUGAAGGUGCUUAUAGACACAAACGCAGAAAACAUAGUGGCUUCGGCGACACACUUUGCCAACAUAACUAUUGAACCAACAUGGUCAAUGAAAAAGGUUGAACAGUGCAUACACCAAUGAAAUCUGGUGUUUGGAGCUGGAGUUGAACCAGCGUCCUUUGGACCACAGCGUUUAAGGAACUUCUUAAAGUCAUGUGCUCUACCAACUGAGCUAUGAAGGUGCUUAUAGAUAAAAACGCAGAAAACAUAGUGGCUUCGGCGACACACUUUGCCAACAUAACUAUUGGACCCACAUGGUCAAUGAAAAAGGUUGAACAGUGCAUAUACAAAUGAAAUCUGGUGCUUGGAGCAGGAGUUGAACCAGGGACCUUUGGACCACAGCGUUUCAGGAACUUCUUACAGUCAUGUGCUCUACCAACUGAGCUAUGAAGGUGCUUAUAGAUGAAAACGCAGAAAACAUAGUGGCUUCGGCGACACACUUUGCCAACACAACAAUCAAGCCACCUGGUCAAUGAAAAAGGUUGAACAGUGCAUAGACCAAUGAAAUCUGGUGUUUGGAGCAGGAGUUGAACCAGCGACCUUUGGACCACAGCGUUUAAGGAACUUCUUAAAGUCAUGUGCUCUACCAACUGAGCUAUGAAGGUGCUUAUAGAUACAACCGCAGAAAACAUAGUGGCUUCGGCGACACACUUUGCCGACAUAACUAUUGGACCCACAUGGUCAAUGAAAAAGGAUGAACAGUGCAUAUACCAAUGAAAUUUGGUGCUUGGAGCUGGAGUUGAACCAGCGACCUUUGGACCACAGCGUUUCAGGAACUUCUUAAAGUCCUCUGCUCUACCAAAUGAGCUAUGAAGGUGCUUAUAGACACAAACGCAGAAAACAUAGUGGCUUCCGCGACACUCUUUGCUGACAUAACUAUUGAACCAACAUGGUCAAUGAAAAAGGUUGAACAGUGCAUACACCAAUGAAAUCUGGUGUUUGGAGCUGGAGUUGAACUAGCGACCUUUGGACCACAGCGUUUCAGGAACUUCUUAAAGUCAUGUGCUCUACCAACUGAGCUAUGAAGGUGCUUAUUGACACAAACGCAGAAAACAUAGUGGCUUCGGCGACACACUUUGCCAACAUAACUAUUGGACCCACAUGGUCAAUGAAAAAGGUUGAACAGUGCAUACACCAAUGAAAUCUGGUGUUUUGAGCUGGAGUUGAACCAGCGAUGUUUGGACCACAGCUUUUUAGGAACUUCUUAAAGUCAUGUGCUCUAGCAACUGAGCUAUGAAGGUGGUUAUAGAUAGGAACGCAGAAAACAUAGUGGCUUCGGCGACACACUUUGCCAACAUAACUAUUGAACCAACAUGGUCAAUGAAAAAGGUUGAACAGUGCAUACACCAAUGAAAUCUGGUGUUUGGAGCUGGAGUCGAACCAGCGUCCUUUGGACCACAGCGUUUAAGGAACUUCUUAAAGUCAUGUGCUCUACCAACUGAGCUAUGAAGGUGCUUAUAGAUAAAAACGCAGAAAACAUAGUGGCUUCGGCGACACACUUUGCCAAAACAACAAUCAAGCCACCUGGUCAAUGAAAAAGGAUGAACAGUGCAUAUACAAAUGAAAUCUGGUGCUUGGAGCUGGAGUUGAACGAGGGACCUUUGGACCACAGCGUUUCAGGAACUUCUUACAGUCAUGUGCUCUACCAACUGAGCUAUGAAGGUGCUUAUAGAUGAAAACGCAGAAAACAUAGUGGCUUCGGCGACACACUUUGCCAACACAAUAAUCAAGCCACCUGGUCAAUGAAAAAGGUUGAACAGUGCAUAGACCAAUGAAAUGUGGUGUUUGGAGCAGGAGUUGAACAAGCGACCUUUGGACCACAGCGUUUCGGGAACUUCUUAAAGUCAUGUGCUCUACCAACUGAGCUAUGAAGGUGCUUAUAGAUAAAAACGCAGAAAACAUAGUGGCUUCGGCGACACACUUUGCCAAAACAACAAUCAGGCCACCUGGUCAAUGAAAAAGGAUGAACAGUGCAUAUACAAAUGAAAUCUGGUGGUUGGAGCUGGAGUUGAACCAGCGACCUUUGGACCACAGCGUUUUAGGAACUUCUUAAAGUCAUGUGCUCUACCAACUGAGCUAUGAAGGUGCUUAUAGAUAAAAACGCAGAAAACAUAGUUGCUUCGGCGACACACUUUGCCAACAUAACUAUUGAUCCAACAUGGUCAAUGAAAAAGGUUGAACAGUGCAUAGACCAAUGAAAUGUGGUGUUUGAAGCAGGAGUUGAACCAGCGUCCUUUGGACCACAGCGUUUCAGGAACUUCUUAAAGUCAUGUGCUCUACCAACUGAGCUAUGAAGGUGCUUAUAGACACAAACGCAGAAAACAUAGUGGCUUCGGCGACACACUUUGCCAACAUAACUAUUGAACCAACAUGGUCAAUGAAAAAGGUUGAACAGUGCAUAUACAAAUGAAAUCUGGUGUUUGGAGCUGGAGUUGAACCAGCAACCUUUGGACCACAGCGUUUCAGGAACUUCUUAAAGUCAUGUGCUCUACCAACUGAGCUAUGAAGGUGCUUAUAGAUAAAAACGCAGAGAACAUAGUGGCUUCGGCGACACACUUUGCCACCAUAACUAUUGAACCAACAUGGUCAAUGAAAAAGGUUGAACAGUGCAUACACCAAUGAAAUCUGGUGUUUGGAGCUGGAGUUGAACCAGCGUCCUUUGGACCACAGCGUUUAAGGAACUUCUUAAAGUCAUGUGCUCUACCAACUGAGCUAUGAAGGUGCUUAUAGAUAAAAACGCAGAAAACAUAGUGGCUUCGGCGACACACUUUGCCAACAAUACAAUUGGACCCACAUGGUCAAUGAAAAAGGUUGAACAGUGCUUAGACAAAUGAAAUCUGGUGUUUGGAGAUGGAGUUGAACCAGCGACCUUUGGACCACAGCGUUUCAGGAACUUCUUACAGUCAUGUGCUCUACCAACUGAGCUAUGAAGGUGCUUAUAGAUAAAAACGCAGAAAACAUAGUGGCUUCGGCGACACACUUUGCCAAAACAACAAUCAAGCCACCUGGUCAAUGAAAAAGGAUGAACAGUGCAUAUACAAAUGAAAUCUGGUGCUUGGAGCUGGAGUUGAACCAGGGACCUUUGGACAACAGCGUUUCAGGAACUUCUUACAGUCAUGUGCUCUACCAACUGAGCUAUGAAGGUGCUUAUAGAUGAAAACGCAGAAAACAUAGUGGCUUCGGCGACACACUUUGCCAACACAACAAUCAAGCCACCUGGUCAAUGAAAAAGGUUGAACAGUGCAUAAAUCAAUGAAAUCUGGUGUUUGGAGCAGGAGUUGAACCAGCGACCUUUGGACCACAGCAUUUCAGGAACUUCUUAAAGUCAUGUGCUCUACCAACUGAGCUAUGAAGGUCCUUUUAGAUAAAAACGCAGAAAACAUAGUGGCUUCGGCGACACACUUUGCCAAAACAACAAUCAAGCCACCUGGUCAAUGAAAAAGGUUGAACAGUGCAUAUACAAAUGACAACUGGAUGCUUGGAGCUGGAGUUCAACCAGCGACCUUUGGACCACAGCGUUUCAGGAACUUCUUAAAGUCAUGUGCUCUACCAACUGAGCUAUGAAGGUGCUUAUAGACACAAACGCAGAAAACAUAGUGGCUUCGGCGACACACUUUGCCAACAAUACAAUUGGACCCACAUGGUCAAUGAAAAAGGUUGAACAGUGCAUAGACCAAUGAAAUCUGGUGUUUGGAGCUGGAGUUGAACCAGCGACCUUUGGACCACAGCGUUUCAGGAACUUCUUAAAGUCAUGUGCUCUACCAACUGAGCUAUGAAGGUGCUUAUAGAUAAAAACGCAGAAAACAUAGUGGCUUCGGCGACACACUUUGCCAAAACAACAAUCAAGCCACCUGGUCAAUGAAAAAGGAUGAACAGUGCAUAUACAAAUGAAAUCUGGUGCUUGGAGCUGGAGUUGAACCAGAGACCUUUGGACCACAGCGUUUCAGGAACUUCUUAAAGUCAUGUGCUCUACCAACUGAGCUAUGAAGGUGCUUAUAGAUAAAAACGCAGAAAACAUAGUGGCUUCGGCGACACACUUUGCCAACACAACAAUCAAGCCACCUGGUCAAUGAAAAAGGUUGAACAGUGCAUAGACCAAUAAAAUCUGGUGUUUGGAGCAGGAGUUGAAGCAGCGACCUUUGGACCACAGCAUUUCAGGAACUUCUUAAAGUCAUGUGCUCUACCAACUGAGCUAUGAAGGUGCUUAUAGAUAAAAACGCAGAAAACAUAGUGGCUUCGGCGACACACUUUGCCAACAUAACUAUUGAACUAACAUGGUCAAUGAAAAAGGUUGAACAGUGCAUACACAAAUGAAAUCUGGUGUUUGGAGCUGGAGUUGAACCAGCGACCUUUGGACCACAGCGUUUUAGGAACUUCUUAAAGUCAUGUGCUCUACCAACUGAGCUAUGAAGGUCCUUUUAGAUAAAAACGCAGAAAACAUAGUGGCUUCGGCGACACACUUUGCCAAAACAACAAUCAAGCCACCUGGUCAAUGAAAAAGGAUGAACAGUGCAUAUACAAAUGAAAUCUGGUGCUUGGAACUGGAGUUGAACCAGCGACCUUUGGACCACAGCGUUUCAGGAACUUCUUAAACACAUGUGCUCUACCAACUGAGCUAUGAAGGUGCUUAUAGAUAAAAACGCAGAAAACAUAGUAGCUUCGGCGACACACUUUGCCAAAACAACAAUCAAGCCACCUGGUCAAUGAAAAAGGAUGAACAGUGCAUAUACAAAUGAAAUCUGGUGCUUGGAGCUGGAGUUGAACCAGCGACCUUUGGACCACAGCGUUUCAGGAACUUCUUAAAGUCAUGUGCUCUACCAACUGAGCUAUGAAGGUGCUUAUAGAUAAAAACGCAGAAAACAUAGUGGCUUCGGCGACACACUUUGCCAAAACAACAAUCAAGCCACCUGGUCAAUGAAAAAGGAUGAACAGUGCAUAUACAAAUGAAAUCGGGUGCUUGGAACUGGAGUUGAACCAGCGACCUUUGGACCACAGCGUUUCAGGAACUUCUUAAAGUCAUGUGCUCUACCAACUGAGCUAUGAAGGUGCUUAUAGAUAAAAACGCAGAAAACAUAGUGGCUUCGGCGACACACUUUGCCAACAUAACUAUUGAACCAACAUGGUCAAUGAAAAAGGUUGAACAGUGCAUAGACCAAUGAAAUGUGGUGUUUGGAGCAGGAGUUAAACCAGCGUCCUUUGGACCACAGCGUUUCAGGAACUUCUUAAAGUCAUGUGCUCUACCAACUGAGCUAUGAAGGUGCUUAUAGACACAAACGCAGAAAACAUAGUGGCUUCGGCGACACACUUUGCCAACAAUACAAUUGGACCCACAUGGUCAAUGAAAAAGGUUGAACAGUGCAUAGACCAAUGAAAUCUGUUGUUUGGAGCAGGAGUUGAACCAGCGACCUUUGGACCACAGCGUUUCAGGAACUUCUUAAAGUCAUGUGCUCUACCAACUGAGCUAUGAAGGUGCUUAUAGAUAAAAACGCAGAAAACAUAGUGGCUUCGGCGACACACUUUGCCAACAUAACUAUUGAACCAACAUGGUCAAUGAAAAAGGUUGAACAGUGCAUAUACAAAUGAAAUCUGGUGUUUGGAGCUGGAGUUGAACCAGCGACCUUUGGACCACAGCGUUUCAGGAACUUCUUAAAGUCAUGUGCUCUACCAACUGAGCUAUGAAGGUGCUUAUAGAUAAGAACGCAGAAAACAUAGUGGCUUCGGCGACACACUUUGCCAACAUAACUAUUGAACCAACAUGGUCAAUGAAAAAGGUUGAACAGUGCAUAAAUGAAUGAAAUCUGGUGUUUGGAGCAGGAGUUGAACCAGCGACCUUUGGACCACAGCAUUUCAGGAACUUCUUAAAGUCAUGUGCUCUUCCAACUGAGCUAUGAAGGUCCUUUUAGAUAAAAACGCAGAAAACAUAGUGGCUUCGGCGACACACUUUGCCAAAACAACAAUCAAGCCACCUGGUCAAUGAAAAAGGAUGAACAGUGCAUAUACAAAUGAAAACUGGAUGCUUGGAGCUGGAGUUGAACCAGCGACCUUAGGACCAUAGCGUUUCAGGAACUUCUUAAAGUCAUGUGCUCUACCAACUGAGCUAUGAAGGUGCUUAUAGAUAAAAACGCAGAAAACAUAGUGGCUUCGGCGACACACUUUGCCAAAACAACAAUCAAGCCACCUGGUCAAUGAAAAAGGAUGAACAGUGCAUAUACAAAUGAAAUCUGUUGCUUGGAGCUGGAGUUGAACCAGGGAGCUUUGGAGCACAGCGUUUAAGGAACUUCUUAAACACAUGUGCUCUACCAACUGAGCUAUGAAGGUGCUUAUAGAUAAAAACGCAGAAAACAUAGUGGCUUCGGCGACACACUUUGCCAAAACAACAAUCAAGCCACCUGGUCAAUGAAAAAGGAUGAACAGUGCAUAUACAAAUGAAAUCUGGUGCUUGGAGCUGGAGUUGAACCAGGGACCUUUGGACAACAGCGUUUCAGGAACUUCUUACAGUCAUGUGCUCUACCAACUGAGCUAUGAAGGUGCUUAUAGAUGAAAACGCAGAAAACAUAGUGGCUUCGGCGACACACUUUGCCAACACAACAAUCAAGCCACCUGGUCAAUGAAAAAGGUUGAACAGUGCAUAAAUCAAUGAAAUCUGGUGUUUGGAGCAGGAGUUGAACCAGCGACCUUUGGACCACAGCAUUUCAGGAACUUCUUAAAGUCAUGUGGUCUACCAACUGAGCUAUGAAGGUCCUUUUAGAUAAAAACGCAGAAAACAUAGUGGCUUCGGCGACACACUUUGCCAAAACAACAAUCAAGCCACCUGGUCAAUGAAAAAGGUUGAACAGUGCAUAUACAAAUGACAACUGGAUGCUUGGAGCUGGAGUUCAACCAGCGACCUUUGGACCACAGCGUUUCAGGAACUUCUUAAAGUCAUGUGCUCUACCAACUGAGCUAUGAAGGUGCUUAUAGACACAAACGCAGAAAACAUAGUGGCUUCGGCGACACACUUUGCCAACAAUACAAUUGGACCCACAUGGUCAAUGAAAAAGGUUGAACAGUGCAUAGACCAAUGAAAUCUGGUGUUUGGAGCUGGAGUUGAACCAGCGACCUUUGGACCACAGCGUUUCAGGAACUUCUUAAAGUCAUGUGCUCUACCAACUGAGCUAUGAAGGUGCUUAUAGAUAAAAACGCAGAAAACAUAGUGGCUUCGGCGACACACUUUGCCAAAACAACAAUCAAGCCACCUGGUCAAUGAAAAAGGAUGAACAGUGCAUAUACAAAUGAAAUCUGUUGUUUGGAGCAGGAGUUGAACCAGCGACCUUUGGACCACAGCGUUUCAGGAACUUCUUAAAGUCAUGUGCUCUACCAACUGAGCUAUGAAGGUGCUUAUAGAUAAAAACGCAGAAAACAUAGUGGCUUCGGCGACACACUUUGCCAAAACAACAAUCAAGCCACCUGGUCAAUGAAAAAGGAUGAACAGUGCAUAUACAAAUUAAAUCUGUUGUUUGGAGCAGGAGUUGAACCAGCGACCUUUGGACCACAGCGUUUCAGGAACUUCUUAAAGUCAUGUGCUCUACCAACUGAGCUAUGAAGGUGCUUAUAGAUAAAAACGCAGAAAACAUAGUGGCUUCGGCGACACACUUUGCCAACACAACAAUCAAGCCACCUGGUCAAUGAAAAAGGUUGAACAGUGCAUAGACCAAUGAAAUCUGGUGUUUGGAGCUGGAGUUGAACAAGCGACCUUUGGACCACAGCGUUUCAGGAACUUCUUAAAGUCAUGUGCUCUACCAACUGAGCUAUGAAGGUGCUUAUAGAUAAAAACGCAGAAAACAUAGUGGCUUCGGCGACACACUUUGCCAAAACAACAAUCAAGCCACCUGGUCAAUGAAAAAGGAUGAACAGUGCAUAUACAAAUGAAAUCUGGUGCUUGGAGCUGGAGUUGAACCAGGGACCUUUGGACCACAGCGUUUCAGGAACUUCUUACAGUCAUGUGCUCUACCAACUGAGCUAUGAAGGUGCUUAUAGAUGAAAAUGCAGAAAACAUAGUGGCUUCGGCGACACACUUUGCCAACACAACAAUCAAGCCACCUGGUCAAUGAAAAAGGUUGAACAGUGCAUAAAUCAAUGAAAUCUGGUGUUUGGAGCAGGAGUUGAAGCAGCGACCUUUGGACCACAGCGUUUCAGGAACUUCUUAAAGUCAUGUGCUCUACCAACUGAGCUAUGAAGGUGCUUAUAGAUAAAAACGCAGAAAACAUAGUGGCUUCGGCGACACACUUUGCCAACAUAACUAUUGAACCAACAUGGUCAAUGAAAAAGGAUGAACAGUGCAUAGACCAAUGAAAUGUGGUGUUUGGAGCUGGAGUUGAACCAGCGUCCUUUGGACCACAGGGUUUAAGGAACUUCUUAAAGUCAUGUGCUCUACCAACUGAGCUAUGAAGGUGCUUAUAGAUAAAAACGCAGAAAACAUAGUGGCUUCGGCGACACACUUUGCCAAAACAACAAUCAAGCCACCUGGUCAAUGAAAAAGGAUGAACAGUGCAUAGACCAAUGAAAUCUGGUGUUUGGAGCAGGAGUUGAACCAGCGACCUUUGGACCACAGCGUUUCGGGAACUUGUUAAAGUCAUGUGCUCUACCAACUGAGCUAUGAAGGUGCUUAUAGAUAAAAACGCAGAAAACAUAGUGGCUUCGGCGACACACUUUGCCAAAACAACAAUCAAGCCACCUGGUCAAUGAAAAAGGAUGAACAGUGCAUAUACAAAUGAAAUCUGGUGCUUGGAGCUGGAGUUGAACCAGCGACCUUUGGACCACAGCGUUUCAGGAACUUCUUAAAGUCAUGUGCUCUACCAACUGAGCUAUGAAGGUGCUUAUAGAUAAAAACGCAGAAAACAUAGUGGCUUCGGCGACACACUUUGCCAACAUAACUAUUGAACCAACAUGGUCAAUGAAAAAGGUUGAACAGUGCAUACACCAAUGAAAUCUGGUGUUUGGAGCUGGAGUUGAACCAGCGUCCUUUGGACCACAGCGUUUAAGGAACUUCUUAAAGUCAUGUGCUCUACCAACUGAGCUAUGAAGGUGCUUAUAGAUAAAAACGCAGAAAACAUAGUGGCUUCGGCGACACACUUUGCCAAAACAACAAUCAAGCCACCUGGUCAAUGAAAAAGGAUGAACAGUGCAUAUACAAAUGAAAUCUGGUGCUUGGAGCUGGAGUUGAACCAGGGACCUUUGGACCACAGCGUUUUAGGAACUUCUUAAAGUCAUGUGCUCUACCAACUGAGCUAUGAAGGUGCUUAUAGAUAGAAACGCAGAAAACAUAGUGGCUUCAGCGACACACUUUGCCAACAUAACUAUUGAACCAACAUGGUCAAUGAAAAAGGUUGAACAGUGCAUACACCAAUGAAAUCUGGUGUUUGGAGCUGGAGUUGAACCAGCGACCUUUGGACCACAGCGUUUCAGGAACUUCUUAAAGUCAUGUGCUCUACCAACUGAGCUAUGAAGGUGCUUAUAGAUAAAAACGCAGAAAACAUAGUGGCUUCGGCGACACACUUUGCCAAAACAACAAUCAAGCCACCUGGUCAAUGAAAAAGGAUGAACAGUGCAUAUACAAAUGAAAUCUGGUGUUUGGAGCAGGAGUUGAACCAGCGACCUUUGGACCACAGCGUUUCGGGAACUUCUUAAAGUCAUGUGCUCUACCAACUGAGCUAUGAAGGUGCUUAUAGAUAAAAACGCAGAAAACAUAGUGGCUUCGGCGACACACUUUGCCAAAACAACAAUCAAGCCACCUGGUCAAUGAAAAAGGAUGAACAGUGCAUAUACAAAUGAAAUCUGGUGCUUGGAGCUGGAGUUGAACCAGCGACCUUUGGACCACAGCGUUUUAGGAACUUCUUAAAGUCAUGUGCUCUACCAACUGAGCUAUGAAGGUGCUUAUAGAUAAAAACGCAGAAAACAUAGUGGCUUCGGCGACACACUUUGCAAACAUAACUAUUGAACCAACAUGGUCAAUGAAAAAGGUUGAACAGUGCAUACACCAAUGAAAUCUGGUGUUUGGAGCAGGAGUUGAAACAGCGUCCUUUGGACCACAGCGUUUCAGGAACUUCUUAAAGUCAUGUGCUCUACCAACUGAGCUAUGAAGGUGCUUAUGGACACAAACGCAGAAAACAUAGUGGCUUCGGCGACACACUUUGCCAACAAUACAAUUGGACCGACAUGGUCAAUGAAAAAGGUGUAACAGUGCAUAGACCAAUGAAAUCUGGUGUUUGGAGCAGGAGUUGAACCAGCGACCUUUGGACCACAGCGUUUCAGGAACUUCUUAAAGUCAUGUGCUCUACCAACUGAGCUAUGAAGGUGCUUAUAGAUAAAAACGCAGAAAACAUAGUGGCUUCGGCGACACACUUUGCCAACAUAACUAUUGAACCAACAUGGUCAAUGAAAAAGGUUGAACAGUGCAUAUACAAAUGAAAUCUGGUGUUUGGAGCUGGAGUUGAACCAGCGACCUUUGGACCACAGCGUUUCAGGAACUUCUUAAAGUCAUGUGCUCUACCAACUGAGCUAUGAAGGUGCUUAUAGAUAAAAACGCAGAAAACAUAGUGGCUUCGGCGACACACUUUGCCAACAUAACUAUUGAACCAACAUGGUCAAUGAAAAAGGUUGAACAGUGCAUACACCAAUGAAAUCUGGUGUUUGGAGCUGGAGUUGAACCAGCGUCCUUUGGACCACAGCGUUUAAGGAACUUCUUAAAGUCAUGUGCUCUACCAACUGAGCUAUGAAGGUGCUUAUAGAUAAAAACGCAGAAAACAUAGUGGCUUCGGCGACACACUUUGCCAACAAUACAAUUGGACCCACAUGGUCAAUGAAAAAGGUUGAACAGUGCUUAGACAAAUGAAAUCUGGUGUUUGGAGCAGGAGUUGAACCAGCGACCUUUGGACCACAGCGUUUCGGGAACUUCUUAAAGUCAUGUGCUCUACCAACUGAGCUAUGAAGGUGCUUAUAGAUAAAAACGCAGAAAACAUAGUGGCUUCGGCGACACACUUUGCCAAAACAACAAUCAAGCCACCUGGUCAAUGAAAAAGGAUGAACAGUGCAUAUACAAAUGAAAUCUGGUGCUUGGAGCUGGAGUUGAACCAGCGACCUUUGGACCACAGCGUUUUACGAAACUUCUUAAAGUCAUGUGCUCUACCAACUGAGCUAUGAAGGUGCUUAUAGAUUAAAACUUAGAAAACAUAGUGGCUUCGGCGACACACUUUGCCAACACAACAAUCAAGCCACCUGGUCAAUGAAAAAGGAUGAACAGUGCAUAUACAAAUGAAAUCUGGUGCUUGGAGCAAGAGUUGAACCAGCGACCUUUGGACCACAGCGUUUCAGGAACUUCUUAAAGUCAUGUGCUCUACCAACUGAGCUAUGAAGGUGCUUAUAGAUAAAAACGCAGAAAACAUAGUGGCUUCGGCGACACACUUUGCCAACAUAACUAUUGAACCAACAUGGUCAAUGAAAAAGGUUGAACAGUGCAUAUACAAAUGAAAUCUGGUGUUUGGAGCUGGAGUUGAACCAGCGACCUUUGGACCACAGCGUUUCAGGAACUUCUUAAAGUCAUGUGCUCUACCAACUGAGCUAUGAAGGUGCUUAUAGAUAAAAACGCAGAAAACAUAGUGGCUUCGGCGACACACUUUGCCAACAUAACUAUUGAACCAACAUGGUCAAUGAAAAAGGUUGAACAGUGCAUACACCAAUGAAAUCUGGUGUUUGGAGCUGGAGUUGAACCAGCGUCCUUUGGACCACAGCGUUUAAGGAACUUCUUAAAGUCAUGUGCUCUACCAACUGAGCUAUGAAGGUGCUUAUAGAUAAAAACGCAGAAAACAUAGUGGCUUCGGCGACACACUUUGCCAACAAUACAAUUGGACCCACAUGGUCAAUGAAAAAGGUUGAACAGUGCUUAGACAAAUGAAAUCUGGUGUUUGGAGCUGGAGUUGAACCAGCGACCUUUGGACCACAGCGUUUCAGGAACUUCUUAAAGUCAUGUGCUCUACCAACUGAGCUAUGAAGGUGCUUAUAGAUAAAAACGCAGAAAACAUAGUGGCUUCGGCGACACACUUUGCCAAAACAACAAUCAAGCCACCUGGUCAAUGAAAAAGGAUGAACAGAGCAUAUACAAAUGAAAUCUGGUGCUUGGAGCUGGAGUUGAACCAGGGACCUUUGGACCACAGCGUUUCAGGAACUUCUUACAGUCAUGUGCUCUACCAACUGAGCUAUGAAGGUGCUUAUAGAUGAAAACGCAGAAAACAUAGUGGCUUCGGCGACACACUUUGCCAACACAACAAUCAAGGCACCUGGUCAAUGAAAAAGGUUGAACAGUGCAUAAAUCAAUGAAAUCUGGUGUUUGGAGCAGGAGUUGAACCAGCGACCUUUGGACCACAGCAUUUCAGGAACUUCUUAAAGUCAUGUGCUCUACCAACUGAGCUAUGAAGGUGCUUAUAGAUAAAAACGCAGAAAACAUAGUGGCUUCGGCGACACACUUUGCCAAAACAACAAUCAAGCCACCUGGUCAAUGAAAAAGGAUGAACAGUGCAUAUACAAAUGACAACUGGAUGCUUGGAGCAGGAGUUGAACCAGCAACCUUUGGACCACAGCAUUUCAGGAACUUCUUAAAGUCAUGUGCUCUACCAACUGAGCUAUGAAGGUGCUUAUAGAUAAAAACGCAGAAAACAUAGUGGCUUCGGCGACACACUUUGCCAAAACAACAAUCAAGCCACCUGGUCAAUGAAAAAGGAUGAACAGUGCAUAUACAAAUGACAACUGGAUGCUUGGAGCUGGAGUUGAACCAGCGACCUUUGGACCACAGCGUUUCAGGAACUUCUUAAAGUCAUGUGCUCUACCAACUGAGCUAUGAAGGUGCUUAUAGAUAAAAACGCAGAAAACAUAGUGGCUUCGGCGACACACUUUGCCAAAACAACAAUCAAGCCACCUGGUCAAUGAAAAAGGAUGAACAGUGCAUAUACAAAUGAAAUCUGGUGCUUGGAGCUGGAGUUGAACCAGCGACCUUUGGACCACAGCGUUUCAGGAACUUCUUAAAGUCAUGUGCUCUACCAACUGAGCUAUGAAGGUGCUUAUAGAUAAAAACGCAGAAAACAUAGUGGCUUCGGCGACACACUUUGCCAACAUAACUAUUGAACCAACAUGGUCAAUGAAAAAGGUUGAACAGUGCAUAGACCAAUGAAAUGUGGUGUUUGGAGCAGGAGUUGAACCAGCGUCCUUUGGACCACAGCGUUUCAGGAACUUCUUAAAGUCAUGUGCUCUACCAACUGAGCUAUGAAGGUGCUUAUAGACACAAACGCAGAAAACAUAGUGGCUUCGGCGACACACUUUGCCAACAAUACAAUUGGACCCACAUGGUCAAUGAAACAGGUUGAACAGUGCAUAGACCAAUGAAAUCUGGUGUUUGGAGCAGGAGUUGAACCAGCGACCUUUGGACCACAGCGUUUCAGGAACUUCUUAAAGUCAUGUGCUCUACCAACUGAGCUAUGAAGGUGCUUAUAGAUAAAAACGCAGAAAACAUAGUGGCUUCGGCGACACACUUUGCCAACAUAACUAUUGAACCAACAUGGUCAAUGAAAAAGGUUGAACAGUGCUUAGACAAAUGAAAUCUGGUGUUUGGAGCUGGAGUUGAACCAGCGACCUUUGGACAACAGCGUUUCAGGAACUUCUUAAAGUCAUGUGCUCUACCAACUGAGCUAUGAAGGUGCUUAUAGAUAAAAACGCAGAAAACAUAGUGGCUUCGGCGACACACUUUGCCAACAUAACUAUUGAACCAACAUGGUCAAUGAAAAAGGUUGAACAGUGCAUACACCAAUGAAAUCUGGUGUUUGGAGCUGGAGUUGAACCAGCGUCCUUUGGACCACAGCGUUUAAGGAACUUCUUAAAGUCAUGUGCUCUACCAACUGAGCUAUGAAGGUGCUUAUAGAUAAAAACGCAGAAAACAUAGUGGCUUCGGCGACACACUUUGCCAAAACAACAAUCAAGCCACCUGGUCAAUGAAAAAGGAUGAACAGUGCAUAUACAAAUGAAAUCUGGUGCUUGGAGCUGGAGUUGAACCAGCGACCUUUGGACCACAGCGUUUCAGGAACUUCUUAAAGUCAUGUGCUCUACCAACUGAGCUAUGAAGGUGCUUAUAGAUAAAAACGCAGAAAACAUAGUGGCUUCGGCGACACACUUUGCCAACAUAACUAUUGAACCAACAUGGUCAAUGAAAAAGGUUGAACAGUGCAUAGACCAAUGAAAUGUGGUGUUUGGAGCAGGAGUUGAACCAGCGUCCUUUGGACCACAGCGUUUCAGGAACUUCUUAAAGUCAUGUGCUCUACCAACUGAGCUAUGAAGGUGCUUAUAGACACAAACGCAGAAAACAUAGUGGCUUCGGCGACACACUUUACCAACAAUACAAUUGGACCCACAUGGUCAAUGAAAAAGGUUGAACAGUGCAUAGACCAAUGAAAUCUGGUGUUUGGAGCAGGAGUUGAACCAGCGACCUUUGGACCACAGCGUUUCAGGAACUUCUUAAAGUCAUGUGCUCUACCAACUGAGCUAUGAAGGUGCUUAUAGAUAAAAACGCAGAAAACAUAGUGGCUUCGGCGACACACUUUGCCAACAUAACUAUUGAACCAACAUGGUCAAUGAAAAAGGUUGAACAGUGCAUAGACCAAUGAAAUGUGGUGUUUGGAGCAGGAGUUGAACCAGCGUCCUUUGGACCACAGCGUUUCAGGAACUUCUUAAAGUCAUGUGCUCUACGAACUGAGCUAUGAAGGUGCUUAUAGACACAAACGCAGAAAACAUAGUGGCUUCGGCGACACACUUUGCCAACAAUACAAUUGGACCCACAUGGUCAAUGAAAAAGGUUGAACAGUGCAUAGACCAAUGAAAUCUGGUGUUUGGAGCAGGAGUUGAACCAGCGACCUUUGGACCACAGCGUUUCAGGAACUUCUUAAAGUCAUGUGCUCUACCAACUGAGCUAUGAAGGUGCUUAUAGAUAAAAACGCAGAAAACAUAGUGGCUUCGGCGACACACUUUGCCAACAUAACUAUUGAACCAACAUGGUCAAUGAAAAAGGUUGAACAGUGCAUACACCAAUGAAAUCUGGUGUUUGGAGCUGGAGUUGAACCAGCGUCCUUUGGACCACAGCGUUUAAGGAACUUCUUAAAGUCAUGUGCUCUACCAACUGAGCUAUGAAGGUGCUUAUAGAUAAAAACGCAGAAAACAUAGUGGCUUCGGCGACACACUUUGCCAACAAUACAAUUGGACCCACAUGGUCAAUGAAAAAGGUUGAACAGUGCUUAGACAAAUGAAAUCUGGUGUUUGGAGCUGGAGUUGAACCAGCGACCUUUGGACCACAGCGUUUCAGGAACUUCUUACAGUCAUGUGCUCUACCAACUGAGCUAUGAAGAUGCUUAUAGAUAAAAACGCAGAAAACAUAGUGGCUUCGGCGACACACUUUGCCAAAACAACAAUCAAGCCACCUGGUCAAUGAAAAAGGAUGAACAGUGCAUAUACAAAUGAAAUCUGGUGCUUGGAGCUGGAGUUGAACCAGGGACCUUUGGACAACAGCGUUUCAGGAACUUCUUACAGUCAUGUGCUCUACCAACUGAGCUAUGAAGGUGCUUAUAGAUGAAAACGCAGAAAACAUAGUGGCUUCGGCGACACACUUUGCCAACACAACAAUCAAGCCACCUGGUCAAUGAAAAAGGUUGAACAGUGCAUAAAUCAAUGAAAUCUGGUGUUUGGAGCAGGAGUUGAACCAGCGACCUUUGGACCACAGCAUUUCAGGAACUUCUUAAAGUCAUGUGCUCUACCAACUGAGCUAUGAAGGUGCUUAUAGAUAAAAACGCAGAAAACAUAGUGGCUUCGGCGACACACUUUGCCAAAACAACAAUCAAGCCACCUGGUCAAUGAAAAAGGUUGAACAGUGCAUAUACAAAUGACAACUGGAUGCUUGGAGCUGGAGUUGAACCAGCGACCUUUGGACCACAGCGUUUCAGGAACUUCUUAAAGUGAUGUGCUCUACCAACUGAGCUAUGAAGGUGCUUAUAGACACAAACGCAGAAAACAUAGUGGCUUCGGCGACACACUUUGCCAACAAUACAAUUGGACCCACAUGGUCAAUGAAAAAGGUUGAACAGUGCAUAGACCAAUGAAAUCUGGUGUUUGGAGCUGGAGUUGAACCAGCGACCUUUGGACCACAGCGUUUCAGGAACUUCUUAAAGUCAUGUGCUCUACCAACUGAGCUAUGAAGGUGCUUAUAGAUAAAAACGCAGAAAACAUAGUGGCUUCGGCGACACACUUUGCCAAAACAACAAUCAAGCCACCUGGUCAAUGAAAAAGGAUGAACAGUGCAUAUACAAAUGAAAUCUGGUGCUUGGAGCUGGAGUUGAACCAGAGACCUUUGGACCACAGCGUUUCAGGAACUUCUUAAAGUCAUGUGCUCUACCAACUGAGCUAUGAAGGUGCUUAUAGAUAAAAACGCAGAAAACAUAGUGGCUUCGGCGACACACUUUGCCAACACAACAAUGAAGCAACCUGGUCAAUGAAAAAGGUUGAACAGUGCAUAGACCAAUAAAAUCUGGUGUUUGGAGCAGGAGUUGAACAAGCGACCUUUGGACCACAGCGUUUCAGGAACUUCUUAAAGUCAUGUGCUCUACCAACUGAGCUAUGAAGGUGCUUAUAGAUAAAAACGCAGAAAACAUAGUGGCUUCGGCGACACACUUUGCCAAAACAACAAUCAAGCCACCUGGUCAAUGAAAAAGGAUGAACAGUGCAUAUACAAAUGAAAUCUGGUGCUUGGAGGUGGAGUUGAACCAGGGACCUUUGGACCACAGCGU